rnacentral:rRNA from 1 species
CAGUAGCCACGGGAAUACGAAGGGGGCUAGCGUUGUUCGGAUUUACUGGGCGUAAAGCGCACGUAGGCGGACUUUUAAGUCAGGGGUGAAAUCCCAGAGCUCAACUCUGGAACUGCCUUUGAUACUGGAAGUCUUGAGUAUGGUAGAGGUGAGUGGAAUUCCGAGUGUAGAGGUGAAAUUCGUAGAUAUUCGGAGGAACACCAGUGGCGAAGGCGGCUCACUGGACCAUUACUGACGCUGAGGUGCGAAAGCGUGGGGAGCAAACAGGAUUAGAUACCCGCGUAGUCCCUGUCUCUUAUAC